GACGAACGCUGGCGGCGUGCUUAACACAUGCAAGUCGAACGGAAAGGCCCUGCUUGCAGGGUGAUCGAGUGGCGAACGGGUGAGUAACACGUGGGUGAUCUGCCCCUUACUUUGGGAUAAGCCUGGGAAACUGGGUCUAAUACUGGAUAGGACCAUGCUGUAGGUGGUGUGGUGGAAAGAUUAGUUUCGGUAAGGGAUGAGCUCGCGGCCUAUCAGCUUGUUGGUGGGGUAAUGGCCUACCAAGGCGUCGACGGGUAGCCGGCCUGAGAGGGUGGACGGCCACAUUGGGACUGAGAUACGGCCCAGACUCCUACGGGAGGCAGCAGUGGGGAAUAUUGCACAAUGGGCGCAAGCCUGAUGCAGCGACGCCGCGUGGGGGAUGACGGCCUUCGGGUUGUAAACUCCUUUCAGCCAUGACGAAGCCCUUGUGGUGACGGUAGUGGUAGAAGAAGCACCGGCUAACUACGUG
rnacentral:rRNA from 1 species